UCUUGCUCCUGCUGGCACCAUGUGAGACACUUGCUCCCCUGUCACCUCCUGCCAUGAUUGGAAGCUUCCUGAGACCUAUCCAGAAGCAGAUGCCAGUGCUAUGCUUCCUGUAUAGCCUGCAGAACCAUGAGCCAAUUAAAUUUCUUUUUUAAAAAAAUAAAUUACUUAGUACCAGGUAUUUCUUUAUAGCAAUGCAAGAAUGGCCUAAUACAGAGAUGCUAUGGAAGAUCAGAAAAUAUAAAUUUAUGAACUGCUAUAAACUGUUAUUUUCUUCGUGAAGAUCAGCACAACAAGAUGUUCCAGACUUAUUCAACAUAUUGUCCAGCCAGUCCUGGAAACAAUCAGUUCCCUGAGGACAGAAUUAAAGUUUAGAGACCUGAAUCUGGGCCCCAGGGGUGGUCAUUACUACUGGUUUGCCACUGCUUCUGUAGCUUUUCAGUGAAGAGGUAGUUAUGUAAUAUGUAUCUAAAAAAAUAAAUUCAAGUUAUGUAUUUUAAAAAUAAAUUCAAGGUCUAUAUAUUUUAGAAAAAGGAAAAAUCAUGUGUUCAUGUUAAUAUUUAUAUUUAAAUAUAUAAUUACAUGUCUUAAUUUAUGUUGUUCUACCUUGAUAAUUCUAUACCUCUAUUAUUUUGCUUUUAUACCUUUUCUCCCCAAAUUUUCUUAAAUUGAAACUCUUGGUUCCUAAUUACAUGUACAUACUUAUUUAUCUUAUACCAUAUACAUAUAGUAAUUUCAAAAUAACAAUACAAACAUUAUUAUCAUUAACAAUAAUGCUGCCGAAUAAAGCUUGUGAUUUCUUUGUGGAGAUUUUCAUACUUGGGAUAUAUCUCACUAGUGAUACUAAAAAAAACCUGCGUUUUAAAGUCACUCGAAAUAAUUUUUCCCUGUGUGGUUUUGUCAACAAUUUGAUAUGCAGUUAGAUCCCUUUACUUCAAAAAAUUUUGAGUAACUGCUUAGCUUUUAUUUUUGAAAUAAUCACAGUUUUUGAUUACAUAGAUAGAGCAUAAAGCAUUUACAGGGUUCCAAAGUGUG
rnacentral:lncRNA from 1 species